rnacentral:rRNA from 1 species
CAAAUGGAGAGUUUGAUCCUGGCUCAGGAUGAACGCUGGCGGCAUGCCUAAUACAUGCAAGUCGAACGGAACU